AUGCAGCAGUUUCUUGCAGCACAGCCGAGCAGUAACGGCAGCACUGCAGCAGCAGCAGCUCCACCGCCGUCGCCGUCGCCCCUGCGUUCGAGGCCACCCAGGAGAGACCAGCAGCAGCAGAGCAUCAAGGAGGCGACCAUGGCCGACGAGCACCAGGAGCUCACCAAGGCCUUCUCAGGGAUGGGCGGCCUGGGCGUGGAGGAGACGGCGUUGGUGUCGGCGCUGGGGCGGUGGAGGAAGCAGCCGGAGAAGCGGGCGCAGUUCCGGAGGGGCUUCCCGGGAUUCUUCGAGCCGGCGGCGGCGGGGGCGAUCGAGCGCUGCUCCGACGACUACGUGCGCCACCUCAAGACGGAGUUCGCCCGGUUCAAGACCCUCAUGGUGCUGUGGGCGAUGCACCCGUGGGAGCGCGACGCGCGCUGGGCGCACCGCGCGCUGCACAAGAAGCACCACCCGGCGUCCGUCCUCGUCGAGCUCGCCUGCACGCGCGCCGCCGACGAGCUCCUCGGCGCCCGCCGCGCCUACCACGCGCUCUACCACCGCUCCCUCGAGGAGGACGUGGCGUACCGCGUCAAGGACGCCGCCGCCAACCGCCUGCUGCUCGGGCUCGUCACCGCCUACCGCUACGAGGGCCCGCGCGUCGACGAGGAGCUCGCCAGGGAGGAGGCCGCGGCGCUCUCUGCCGGCCCAGGCGCCGGCGCCAAGGCCCAGAGUCAGAGCGAGCUCGUGGUGCGGGUGCUCGCCACCAGGAGCAAGCCGCAGCUCCGGGCGACCUUCCGGUUGUACAGAGAGCUCCACGGCAAGCCGCUGGAGGAGGAGUUCGGCGGCGACGCGCCGUGCCUGCGGGAGGCGGUGAGGUGCCUCGAGUCGCCGGCCAAGUACUUCGGCGAGGUGAUCGACGGGGCGUUCAAGGAGGGGGCGGACAAGCAGGCCAAGGCCGCCUUGACCCGCGUCGUCGUGUCCCGGUCCGACGCCGACAUGGAGGAGAUCAAGGAGGCCUACCUGAAACAGCACGGGGCCAAGCUCGUGGACGCCGUCGCCAAGAACACCCACGGACAUUACAGGGACGCGCUGCUCGCCAUGAUCGGAAAGUGA
rnacentral:rRNA from 1 species